rnacentral:sRNA from 1 species
ACAUUGGAGGCAACUCUGACCGAGCAUCGCCGCGUGAUUGACGGAAGUACUUUGGUAUGUAAAGUUUUUUUAUCAGGAAAGAAAAGCAAGUGGUGAACCAUUUGUUUGCCGGUACUUGAUGAAUAAGCACCGAGCUACUUAUGUGCCAGCAGCCUCGGUAAGACAUAAGGUGCAAGUGUUAUCCGGAAUUAUUGGGCGUAAAGGGUGCGUAGGCUGUUUAGUAAGUCAGUGGUGUGAUGGCAACUCUCAACGUUGUCGGGGUAUUGAAACUGUUGAACUUGAGUGAUAUAGAGACGAGUGGAAUUCCAUGUGUAACGGUAAGAUAUGUAUAUAUAUGGAGGAACACCAGAGGCGUAGGCGGCUCGCUGGGUCAUUAACUGGCGCUGAAGCAUGAAAACGUGGGGAGCAAACAGGAUUUGAUACCCCGGUAGUUCACGCCGUAAACGAAGAGUACAUAAGUGUGGGGUUAAACCGGUACUGUAGUUAACACAUUAAUUACUCUGCGUGAUUAGCACGUACGCAAGUAUGACAAUUAAAGGAAUUGACGGGACUCCGCACAAGCGGUGGAUCAUGUUGUUUAAUUCGAAGAUACCCGACAAACCUUACCAGCUCUUCACAUGUUUGUGCGAAACGGUAGUAAUAUCGUGGAGGUUAUCAGAAACACAGGUGGUGCAUGGUGGUCGUCAUCUGGUGUCGUGAGAUGUUGUGUUAAGUCCUAAAACGAGGUAAACCAUUAUGGUUAGUUGUCAGCACGAUAUGGUGGGGUCUUUAACGAGUCUGCCAGUGAUAAAUUAGAAGAAGGUGAGGAUCACGUCAAAUCAGCAUCCCCUUUAUGACGUGGGCUACACACGUGAUACAAUGGGUGUUACAAAGGAUAGCUGAAACGCAAGUUAUGGGCCAAUCUCCAAAAACUUUCUCAGUCCGGAUUGAAGUCUGCAACUCGACUUCAUGAAGUGGAAUCGCUAGUAAUCGCGAAUCAGCAUGCCGCGGGAAUUAUUGG